UACGGAGGAUGCGAGCGUUAUCCGGAUUUAUUGGGUUUAAAGGGUGCGUAGGCGGGUUAUCAAGUCAGCGGUAAAAUCGUGGAGCUCAACUCCAUCCAGCCGUUGAAACUGAUGAUCUUGAGUGUGUUUGAGGUAGGCGGAAUGCGUGGUGUAGCGGUGAAAUGCAUAGAUAUCACGCAGAACUCCGAUUGCGAAGGCAGCAUACCGGCGCCCAACUGGCGCUGAAGCACGAAAGCGUGGGUAUCGAACAGG
rnacentral:rRNA from 1 species